ACGGGGUGCAGCAGGCGCGAAAACUUUGCAAUGUGCGAAAGCACGACAAGGUUAAUCCGAGUGGUUUGUGCUAAACAGACCUUUUGUUAGUCCUAGAAACACUAACGAAUAAGGGGUGGGCAAGUUCUGGUGUCAGCCGCCGCGGUAAAACCAGCACCUCAAGUGGUCAGGAUGAUUAUUGGGCCUAAAGCAUCCGUAGCCGGCUCUGUAAGUUUUCGGUUAAAUCUGUAUGCUCAACAUACAGGCUGCCGGGAAUACUGCAGAGCUAGGGAGUGGGAGAGGUAGACGGUACUCGGUAGGAAGGGGUAAAAUCCUUUGAUCUAUUGAUGACCACCUGUGGCGAAGGCGGUCUACCAGAACACGUCCGACGGUGAGGGAUGAAAGCUGGGGGAGCAAUCCGGAUUAGAUACCCGGGUAGUCCCAGCUGUAAACUAUGCAAACUCAGUGAUGCAUUGGCUUGUGGCCAAUGCAGUGCUGCAGGGAAGCCGUUAAGUUUGCCGCCUGGAAGUACGUACGCAAGUA
rnacentral:rRNA from 1 species